UGUCAUAAGAUUUCCCAAAAAUAAAUAUCAAUGAAGAGGGUGUUGAAAUCAAGGAAAAAUUUGAGGGCAUUCGAUAACUUUUUCCCCUUCAAGAAAUAUCACAGACAACCUUCCAUCCCAAGUCAACAAAAUUGAAACCCAUUUUUGAGAGUUGUUGGUGACUCAUCCUAUAAAUGAUGACAACAUUAGGAGAUCCGAAGACAUUGUCCAGGGCUCCGAGAAGACUUAUCUUUUCUUUUUAAUAGCUUGCCCACCCUGAAAUCGGCUCAAUCAGAGAUAGGGUCCAACAGCUAGAAGAGCAUCGAACGUCUUGCAGUGUCUGGUGCGCCCUCAAUAGCCCUUGAAACUCUGGAGGGCCGAGUACCAUCCAUGCCUGAUCAUACUCAUAAUCGCAUUAUAUCUCCAAGGUGAACAACCUCU
rnacentral:ncRNA from 1 species